UCGAUUCUUCUGGAUCAGAUUGUCCAGUUGGACGAGCCGAGAUCCCACCUCGCACCGCAGCAUCUGAACAAACACACAAAACAUGUCUGAGAUCAUUCCAGCGGAGCAGCAGAAAGUGGCCAACGAAGUAAACUUGUCUGUCCAACUGCUUCUUCGCUGUGAGAUGGAGCUGCAGCAGACAACUGGUGAGGUUCCAGUUUCCCAGCAGGGACCAAGCUGAAGGGGAACUUCAUUUUGGACCAACGAGGAGAAUCUAUUCAGAGGGGAUGGGCGCUCUGCUCCGCUGCACACUCACUCUCUGAUUUAAGGUGAACCCUGAGUUCGACUGUCCUAAUGCAGGACACUCACUGGCCACAUCCCUGCAGGUCUCCAUCUUGGCUCCAGCUACCGC